rnacentral:lncRNA from 1 species
UGGAAAAGGAAUUUUUUAGAAUGAAUUAUCAUUGUUUAGUUUUGAUCAUCGUACAAAUCAAUAUGAACUUAAUGUUCAAAAGAUUAUUAUUUUUCAAAAUAUAGUAAAUAAGUUGCCAAAUGUAUUUACUGACCUAAAAGAAUAACUAAAUCUUAUCUACCAGCUGCAAAUGCUCCUAUUAGCAUUAAUGUCCUUGUAGGACAAGGCAAGCCAGAAGCGUGGAGACCAAUCGAUUUCAAAGAUAAAAUCUGCAACGACCACUCUCCGGUCGCUGCCGGCGUCCAAGACUUUCGAAAAAGACCCGCCAAGUCUCAAACAAGCCUGUCUAGAAUUUGCUCGUUAAUCCACUACAUUCAAUCACCAUAUAAUAUUGAUACUUUCAUAUACUAACUUGAACCAUAAAUAUAAAAAUCAAUACAAACUUUUUCCUUUUUAUUUGUAAGUAUAUGUAUUAAAAUCUAUAAUCUCCAAAUUAAUGCUUAUGUAAAAAUUUAGAAUUUGUUUACAACUUAAUAAAUAAAAUGCUACGACUUGACCUCUAACAGCGAAGCGACUCGAAAUAAAAUGCUAGGAGAUGCCUUUACCUAUUCACAGUAGAUCGAAUGUGUCACUGACUACAUGCUAGGCUGAUCCCUAUCUGCAAAAGGGAAAAUAAAGGGUGUGAGUCUCAUCGACUCAGUGAUAAUCAUCGACUCAGCGAGUAGGGCGUAGAUGGGAAACAAGUAAACGACAUAUCAGUUUAAUAUAAAAAUGUAGAUUAUAAAAACAAUUCGUUUCAAACGGGGAUUUGUGCCUUAUAUAAAAAUUGAGAAUUUCUUAUAAAGUAUAAAUAAUCGAGGUAAUAAAAUUUUUUUCACAUCAAAAUAUAUUAAUAAUCAUUUUCGAAUCAAAUCAAUAAAAUUUAGCAAGCUCCCGCAAAACCAAAUAAUAUUUAAAAUCAUGCCCAAAUCAUAACUCGCCCCAUAUGCGAGGAAUUACAGAUUUAUUUCACAGAUAAACAUAUAGGAGAGCUGCGAAAAGCCGUUUAAUUCCUUUUUCACCAUGCAGAGAAAUAUAAUUCAUAAUAUUAAAACUUAUUUCAACUCAUAUAAAACCAUUACAUUUUUAUCAAAAAUAAACAACAUGGCUUAUGACUUUCUUAAAAACUUGGCUUGUGCCAAAAUCAUUCUCAUACUCGGUUGUCAGGGAUACCUUGGCCUGGGGCUAUCCCAACCGAAUC